rnacentral:rRNA from 1 species
CUGGUGAAGCGUUCGGAUUGGCGUUAGUGGGCGGUUUUCCGCCUCCUCUCGCUGAGAAGUUCGUUAAACCCUCCCACCUAGAGGAAGGAGAAGUCGUAACAAGGUU